ensembl:snRNA U5 U5 spliceosomal RNA
UACUAAUAGCACUCUUCAGAUCUUACAAAGCUUUCACAUUUUAGUAAGGAUUUCCGUGGAGAGGAGCAACAAGAGUUUGAUUUAAUUUGAUGCCCUGCUUUUUUCAGGGCU